UCGAGAAUAUUCGACAAUGGGCGAAAGCCUGAUCGAGCGACACCGCGUGCAGGAUGAAGGCCUUCGGGUUGUAAACUGCGGUAGUAUGGUAACAAUGCAAAUGAGUGCCAUACGGAAAGAGGUGGGUAACUACGUGCCAGCACCAGCGGUAAUACGUAGACCUCAAGCGUUAUCCGGAUUUAUUGGGCGUAAAGAGCAUGUAGGAGGUUUUGCGCGUCUUGUGUUAAAGCCCACGGCCUAACCGUGGAAAUGCACGAGAUACGGCAAGACUAGAGGGGGUUAGAGGUGCAUGGAACUCACGGUGUAGGGGUGAAAUCCGUUGAUAUCGUGGGGAACACCAAAGGCGAAGGCAGUGCACUGGGACCUUCCUGACUCUGAGAUGCGAAAGCGUGGGGAGCAAAAAGGAUUAGAUACCCCUGUAGUCC
rnacentral:rRNA from 1 species